CUACGGGAGGCAGCAGUAAGGAAUAUUGCGCAAUGGGCGAAAGUCUGACGCAGCGACGCCGCGUGGGUGAUGAAGGCCUUCGGGUUGUAAAGCCCUGUGGGGAGAGAAGAAUAAGUGCGGGCUAAUACCCCGCAUGAUGACGGUAUCUCCUUAGCAAGCACCGGCUAACUCUGUGCCAGCAGCCGCGGUAAGACAGAGGGUGCAAACGUUGUUCGGAAUUACUGGGCGUAAAGCGUGUGUAGGCGGUCUGAUAAGUCGGAUGUGAAAGCCCCAGGCUCAACCUGGGAAGUGCAUUCGAUACUCUCAAGCUAGAGUACUGGAGAGGUUGGUGGAAUUCUCGGUGUAGAGGUGAAAUUCGUAGAUAUCGAGAGGAACACCGGUGGCGAAGGCGGCCAACUGGACAGAUACUGACGCUGAGACUCGAAAGCGUGGGGAGCAAACAGGAUUAGAAACCCUGGUAGUCC
rnacentral:rRNA from 1 species